GCUAGAGUGGUGUAGUGGUUUAAGUGUAGACUAUGACCCUGGAGACCAGGGUUCUAAUCCCAGCUCAGCC